rnacentral:rRNA from 1 species
UACGGGGGGAGCAAGCGUUGUUCGGAUUUACUGGGCGUAAAGGGCGCGUAGGCGGCGUGACAAGUCACUUGUGAAAUCUCCGGGCUUAACUCGGAACGGUCAAGUGAUACUGUCGUGCUAGAGUGCGGAAGGGGCAACUGGAAUUCUUGGUGUAGCGGUGAAAUGCGUAGAUAUCAAGAGGAACACCUGCGGCGAAGGCGGGUUGCUGGGCCGACACUGACGCUGAGGCGCGAAAGCGUGGGGAGCAAACAGG